UUUCUUUAUAGGCAGGUUAUUCCGAGUGUUGGUCUGGAUGAGAAUUUGUGUAUGAGUAUGUUUAUUUGUCCAGUGUCAGUCAAGCUCCCUGCAGACCCUUAGACCUCCAGGAGCAGGGAGGCUGACUCUGCAGACAGUGAGGCUGAAUAUGGACUCUCCUCACUGGGCUCGGAGCUCUGGGCAGCCCUGGAGUGCUGCUGGGUCUCUGUGGGGCUGGGCAGUGUCGAGGCUACAGCUGGACUGGACAACAAGGUUCUUUCAGGAGGAUGAAGAGAUGCUGAUUCUGACCCACAGUGAUGAGUUGAACACAACCUAUGGUGAGGAAAACAGAUUGCCUUUUGACAACAUCACAAACAAAAAUAAUACAAGCUGUGAUGACACCAGGAGAAACAGACGGACUGAGCAAGAUAAUCCCAGUGUGAGGGAAAGACCAGCUUCUAACCUGAUGGGAUCCACCAGCAACUCAUGGCAGAAGAGUCCUGCUUUUAAAGAAACCAGAGCUACUGUAAUCUCCUCUGGACCCAGUACCAUCACCAUAACAUCAGCAGUUUCCCCUGCAGACCCCCUUUGGCUCAAAAACACCAGACAUUAUGGCAAAAGAGUAAGAUCCGCUGAAAAGAAAGCUGACACGAUGGGCAGCGACAGCGAGGAGAACCCGAGUUUCAACCAGAACCAGGGUAGCAAGAGAAGAUCCUUCCAGCUGGCUGGGCUGCUUAGAGGGAAUAUGCAAAAACAGAGACUUUCUAAAGAUAGAGAGGAGAAAAUUGAAGGAGAGGGAACUGCAGAGGGGACUUCUCAGGUCGGUACCAGCUUUGAAGAAGAGCGAGCAGGGAUGAUUUUAGCUAAUCCAGUUCAGAGCCCCAAUUCCGCCACCACAGGUCUGAAUCCUACGGCCACCAUCACUGCCUGGGAGGCUGGCUGGAAUGUCACAAAUGCUAUACAGGUACACCUAUAUAGUAUACAUGCAUGGCAACUUUCACAUUUUAAUUUAAAGGAUGAUUACAAAGGUUUUUCAUGUUUUCGAUACCACCUUUUUUAAGGCCUAUGAGUACGUUUUACUCUCCAGCCAUGUAUAUACACAAAGGUAUCCCUCCCUUUUCCUGCUUCCUUGGCAAGACACAUAAUCCCAAAAAGUCAUCUUGGAUAUAAAUCUCUAUUAAAUUAUGUAGUUUUUCAAUAGAAUGAAACCUGCUCAACAUAACCAAUCCAUGAACCUGUAAGUGUCGGUCAGAGUUAUUUCAGAGUUUCUGUAACCUCAAUAAUUGUGAAGCGCUACUUGUUUCAAAUUUUGAGUCGGCUGCUGAACAGCAGUCUUCUGAUAACAUAGCUCAUGUUUAUUGCAGCUGCAAACUUGCAAUUAAUUAUUUUGUCGGUUCAGUUUCAGCACUUCGUUCCUCCCUUUUCACCAAAACUUCAUGUCUCUCUCUCUCUCUCUCUUCCCUCUUAUAGAAGACAAAUGCAAAAUGUAAAAAGCAUUAAACCUGCAGCCUAUUUAAUCUGCUCCCGUUGUGUUUUAAUAUUACUAAAAAAAUGCUUUGUG
rnacentral:lncRNA from 15 species